CCUGGUUUUAGAUUCCAUCCGACAGAUGAAGAGAUCAUAAACCAUUAUCUUUCACACAGGGUCAUGAAUAGUAGCUUCACUGCAACAGCUAUAGGCGAAGUAGAUUUGAACAAGUGCGAACCUUGGGACUUACCAACAAAGUCGAAGAUGGGAGAGAAGGAAUGGUACUUCUUCUGCCAGAGAGAUAGGAAAUACCCGACAGGCAUGAGAACGAAUAGAGCAACAGAAGCCGGAUACUGGAAGGCCACUGGGAAGGA